CAGCCGCCGCGGGAAUACGUAGGUCCCGAGCGUUGUCCGGAUUUAUUGGGCGUAAAGGGAGCGCAGGCGGUUUAGUAAGUCUGAAGUUAAAGGCAUUGGCUCAACCAAUGUAUGCUUUGGAAACUGUUAGACUUGAGUGCAGAAGGGGAGAGUGGAAUUCCAUGUGUAGCGGUGAAAUGCGUAGAUAUAUGGAGGAACACCGGUGGCGAAAGCGGCUCUCUGGUCUGUCACUGACGCUGAGGCUCGAAAGCGUGGGUAGCGAACAGGAUUAGAUACCCCUGUAGUCCCUGUCUCUUAUACA
rnacentral:rRNA from 1 species